rnacentral:tRNA from 4 species
GCCGGUGUAGCUCAGGGGUAGAGCGCAUCCUUGGUAAGGAUGAGGUCAUGAGUUCAAUUCCCAUCACCGGCUCUA